rnacentral:rRNA from 1 species
AACGAACGCUGGCGGUAUGCUUAACACAUGCAAGUCGAACGAACAAAAUUGGGGCUUGCUCCAAUUUUAGUGAGUGGCAAACGGGUGAGUAACACGUGGGAAUCUACCUAUCAGUACGGAAUAACAUUUGGAAACAGAUGCUAAUACCGUAUAUUCUCCAAGGAGGAAAGAUUUAUCGCUGAUAGAUGAGCCCGCGCAAGAUUAGGUAAUUGGUAGGGUAAUGGCCUACCAAGCCUACGAUCUUUAGCGGGUCUGAGAGGAUGAUCAGCCACACUGGGACUGAGACACGGCCCAAACUCCUACGGGAGGCAGCAGUGGGGAAUAUUGGACAAUGGGCGAAAGCCUGAUCCAGCGAUACCGCGUGAAUGAUGAAGGCCUUAGGGUUGUAAAGUUCUUUUAGUUGGAAAGAUAAUGACGGUACCAACAGAAAAAGCCCCGGCUAACUCCGUGCCAGCCGCCGCGGUAA